rnacentral:rRNA from 1 species
UGGGGAAUAUUGCACAAUGGGGGAAACCCUGAUGCAGCGACGCCGCGUGAGCGAAGAAGGCUUUCGAGUCGUAAAGCUCUGUCCUAUGAGAAGAUAAUGACGGUAUCAUAGGAGGAAGCCCUGGCUAAAUACGUGCCAGCAGCCGCGGUAAUACGUAUGGGGCGAGCGUUGUCCGGAAUUAUUGGGCGUAAAGGGUACGUAGGCGGUUUUUUAAGUCAGGUGUCAAAGCGUGGAGCUUAACUCCAUUAAGCACUUGAAACUGAAAGACUUGAGUGAAGGAGAGGAAAGUGGAAUUCCUAGUGUAGCAGUGAAAUGCGUAGAUAUUAGGAGGAAUACCGGUGGCGAAGGCGACUUUCUGGACUUUUACUGACGCUCAGGUACGAAAGCGUGGGGAGCAAACAG